GACUCCACCAUCGGAGGACGUGGAGGAUGCCGGGGCACAGGUGCGCCGCUGUGCAGGAGGAAGAUGUGGAACACAGACCAGAGAGCUCGCUCAGAGCGGGACCAUCUUUAAGAUAAGAACCAGCCCCAAGAGUGAGUUAAAGGGACAGACGGAAAUUCAAAUGCAGCUGCUUUCGGACUGCUUUGCACAAGUCCCCCUGAACAUCACAGGCUGUUGGAAGGGCCAGGCUGGUAGGAAAAGUGGAAGCAACUUUCCUCUUUCCCCCUCCUGCCUCUUCAAAUGCCAAGCAGAGUCCCUCCCGCCCACUCCUGGGUGACGUCUCAGCUUAUCUGCUCCCAGCAGCCCUGUCCUACAGAGAGAGCGGGAGCCAGCUGUGCAGACCUGAGUGUCAACAUUCUGGGAGCCACAGGAGAAAAAGCAGAACGGAAAGGACACACAGUUCAGCCAUGCUGAGGAAUUGGGGCUCCAUCCACAAGAAGAGGAAGCCAUCGAAAGUCUUCAUUAGGAGAGAGAGACAUGUUCCAAUUUGUGUUUUGGGAAAAAACAUUCUGAGUCGAGUGUAGUGGAUAUAAGAGGGCACGAGGAUGAGAUGGGAAAACAGAGGAUAGAGAUGCCACCUGAAAUUGAGCCUGGAAGUUUCCAGAAGAAGUUUGUUGAAUCCUGGGUUACAGCAGUUAAGCCCCCACUCACUGAAUAAUGCAAGUUCCCUUUGGUAAGGACCACACCUGUAUGACAAUGUAAGCACAAGCUGUGAACUUUUGGAUGUCUGACACAGCUUAGGCCAAUUCUUUUUCCUUCUCCUUACCUGAUGUGGACUUGAGAGAGAGAGGAAUUUUUUGAAAACAAGAGAAAUUUGAUAGCCAAGUGUAAGACUUUGGUUUAGAAACUUUCCCUCAAUUAAAUAAACUCAGUGGUCUGAAAUGACUGUAUUGAUGAAGUGUUUCUUUCCACCUUAGAAACUGAUCAUCCAUGCCCUUCAUGGAAUGUGUCUUUGUAACCACAAUGACUCAGUUUAUCUGAUUAAGAGGGGUUAUGACUAUGGCUACUUUAGCUAAAACAGAGGCAUUAUUAGAAGGUGCAAGCAAACAGUGAGCACUGCAAACAUGGAUUUCAUCAUGGAAAAUCAGAAUACCUUCUCUGAUCUUUUC
rnacentral:lncRNA from 1 species